AUCAAACUGCAAAAUUGAAAGUACCCCCUCUAUGGCAAGCUUCUUCUCCUGCUUACUCUUCUUCUCGAUUCUUCCUCUACUCUUCUUCUACUCUAAUCUUCUCUCCAAUUCUCUGUCUCUUCUUCCUCACCUAAACCAUUUUUUCUUUUGUAAUUGUUACUUGUAAUCCAUUGCAUUGUAAGACAAUCAUCAAUUAAGGGAAUGAAUGAAUUGAUUUUGGUUGGCGAUUAACUGGUUCUUGUUAGUAAUUUAAUUUAUGUUCCUCAAUUUGGCUGAUUGCAAUUUAUAUUCAGAAUCUUGUGUUUUUAUUGUUAGUUAUUUCAGGUUGUGUUCUUUAAUUUGGAUAAUUACAAUAUCUUGAAUUUAUAGCUGCUAGUUAUUUGGUUGAGCUUGGUUAGAAAAUUAAUUGGUUUUGGUUGAAGUUGGGCUCCAACCAUAACAUUUAUGCGAUGAAACCCUUGUUCUUUUUGUGAUUUCUCUAGACGUUUUGAAUAAUUGAUUUCCAUUGUUUGUGAACCCUCAUUCUCUACGUGAUUUUUGUCGAUGCCAUUAUACUCACUACAAAUUGAGGACAAUCUGUUUGACACAUAAAUUUUGAGAUCUGUUUUCUAAGUUGAUUUACGUUUUUCUUCUCUUCUUUUAUAACUCCUGGGUUGUUUGAGAUUAUUGCGUUUUUUGCCUUCUUUCGACUCUUCAUUAUUGGGUUACAUUAUGGUUUUGGAAGAACUAGUUCUUCUACCCAAAAGUAGAAUCUCCUUCUUUAUGCAGUCCAAACUCAUAUUCUCGAGUUUUGAAGAUUUUACUUAUUCUAUUAAUACUUAGUGGGAUGAAAGCAAUCGAAGUUUUCAAUGUAGUAUAGAGGCAAAUUGAUGCCUUUAAUCAGUUUUAAAGUCUUGUAAUUUGACGGAUUAAAUACAUAACCGUUACUGAAAAUUUGUUGCCUUAUCUUCUAGGCAAGACCUUGGUUUUGGCAGAAUCUUAAUUGGAUCACUUAAUGGCAAUUGGAUUCUAACUGAUUUAGGAGAGGAAUUUGAUAUUCUUUUCACAUCCUCCUUUGACAUGCGCAGCAUGAAUGGUGGAUUGUAAUGGGAUGUGAUCCAAAAAAUACUAGAUAGAGCUACCACAAUGGAGGAUCAUAGCCAGAUUCAUUUACUCAUCAAAAGAAGUCAAAGGCAACAAUCUGGCUAGGAAGAGAUUUUGAAGAAUACUAUGAUACCAGAGGCUCCCAUGUUUAAACCUGAGCCUCCUUUGUAAGGUUUAUUCUUCCACUAUUGGUUAUUUCAUAAUUUUGUAUUUUUAUUUAUUUGAAAGUUCUUAUAAAAGUUAAGUUUGUAAGUCUUUUGCAGCAACAUUUCUAGAAUAGUUCCUUGUACUUCUACUUCUACCUUUUUGUAUAUAUACUAGUCAUCACCACGUGCGUUGCACAAGUUUUGUAUUUAUUCAGUUUCUAUUAGUGUAAAAAUUGUAGAUUUUUUGAA